rnacentral:lncRNA from 1 species
UAUGCUUUGAGUGCACCGAGUGCACGGGUGCACGUAGAGAGUUGUUUUCUUUGUGGGUUUAUAGAAGCGAGAGAAAGGUAUGAGAGAUUCAGAAAGAGGGCUCGGUUUGUAACUACUCUAUGCAGAAGAGGAAUCAGGUAUAAUAUUCUCUUAUUUAAUCAAUCUUAUUUUACCCGCAUAUUUUCGGAUUUGGUUUUUUCUCUAUUUUAUGAUUGUAUCAGCUUUUGCUGAGAAGACGAGUUUAUAAUAAAAACUCGAUUUGACACUUCCAUUGCGGAAUCCUAAUAAUCAGUACCGGAUCAACAGCAGCUGGUAUCGAAGCGGGUUGCGGAUUCACAAAAUUCGAUACUGACGUGAGUACCGAAAUUCCAACAUCCAUUUCCUUAAUAUCGGGAUUCUGCUGAGAAUUCUGCAGAGUUUGAGUGUGGAGGUUAUAACUAGCCCUAUGUAGAAGAGAAAAGUAUCCUUUUUCCAUACAAUUGAACUCUUGAGAAUAACUUGGAGCCGCAGUAAAUCAGUAAAAUAGUAUCUAGUAGCUAGUGGUGGAGCUAAGGGCUGGGCCCAGGUGGGCACGUGCCCACCAGUAAUUUGCUUUCCUACUUUUUUUUCUUGAUAAAAUUUAGAACAUGCACUAUGUGAACGCAUAAAAAAUUGCAUCUCUCCUUUUUUUUAUCUUAGAAAAUAUAAAAAUUUAAUUAUAAAAUAGAUAUUUAUUUGUUCAUAUAUUUAAAUAUUUAUAAUUUAUAAUUUUUUAAUUAGAGUGUUAUUACUCGAUAAAAUUUAUUUAUUUGGUUAUUUGUUAUACUAUUUUUAUCUUUCUGAUUAUAGAAUAGUUUGGCAGUAGCAAUAGUUCAGUAGCCUUUUGUAGUAGUACUUUCAGGCAAGGAUUCAAGUGCCGGCCGUGCCACACCGUGUCGGUGCUGCACGUACCGUGCCACCAAGAAAGGGGCACAGUAUAGCGGGGAGGACCCCCCUUCCCCCCCCCCCGUGUAAGAUCCUUGGUGUUUGGCGGUUGAGGCUUGACGACAGUUCUGGAGAGUGUCGGGACAAGUCUGAGUCACGUUGGCAUGAAACAGACGCAAAACGAACUCUGUGCGACGCGAGAGCAGCAUUUAGCAAGAAAAUCUGUAAAUAGCAGUUUCCUACUUGCUGUACCGGUACAGACAUCACGGUGUACCGGUACACUGCUCAGGGCUUCACGCAGCUUGCUCUCGGGUUGGCCACUGUACCGGUACACGGGCCCGUGUACCGGUACGCCAAGGUAGGUAGGAGGACUUUUUGGUCUUUUUCCACCUCGUUCGUAUUACCCUUUCUCUCUUACUGUAUUUAGGCUUGUGUAGAGCUGAGAGAGUGAGUUUUCCAUGUCCUUAUUCUCCUCUCUCUCUAGCUUGGACCGUGGGCAAGGAGGAGCUCGGGUGGAGUUCGAGUGUCGUCGACGUCGCGCCGCGGUGCCAUUCGAGUGUGUCUUCAUCGUCGUGGUGCUGCGAAGAGGCUGGGUGAGCGUGGUUUUUCGCCGUCUUCGACGUUGCGCCGAUUCUAGAGGGGUUUUCGAGGUGAGUGAUCCAUAGACAUCGCUUCAACUACUUUAAGCUCAAGGAUGUUGUUUUUGCAGAUUUCCUGCAUCGACCGUUGGCGUUUCGGCUCGUGUACGACGUAGGAGCGUCAGAUUGCAGUGAGACUUGGUUCGUUGGAUUCAGGACUUCGAGAGGAAUCCACGAAGCCCAAGAUUGCAGGAUUUGGUGAAGGUUAGCUUGGUCGAACCUUAUUUUACCCUGCUGUUGUUAUACAUGGACAGAAUUGAUGGAUUUCGAUUGUAGAGCUUGGAGUUAGCUCGAUUUCUAGACUUGGAGGACUUCGGUCGAUCCAGCAGGUUAUUCCACAGCUGAGGGAGUUCUUUGCUGCCAGGGAUUAGCAAUUAAAGUGGGUUUAUCAUCGGUUUUGCUCCUAAGUAUAUGUAUAGUAAACUUGUAUAGUUUCGACUUCGGAAUAUCCUGUUGUAGCUCAAAUUCAUCGGUUGGUUUAUUGUAUGAAAGCUGAAUUGAGAGCAUGAAUAGUAAUUAGUUGAAUAUACAUGUUGGACUUGAAAUUUGACUUAGAAGAAAACUAGCGAUUCGACCUGUCAUAUGAUUCUACUACCUGAUUUAGCUCUAGGAGCCGUGGUUUGAUUGUAUCACUGUUGUUUCAGCGCGGUGGAUAUCCGGGGUAGUUUAGAAUGCAUUUACGCUCGGACGGGAUGCCGAGCUUGGGUAAUAUUUAACUGUAGGUUCUACACUGUCUUUUCUGCUCCCUCCUUAAGCUUUUGUGCUUUGUAUUCCCGCUGUUAGUGCGCAAUUGAUACUCAGAUAGCUUCUGAAGCUGUUGUGCUUCGUAUCCCCGCAUGCGCAUUUGAUACUCAGAUAGCUUCGGGAGUUGUCGCGGAUAGUAUCCACACUGUUGUGUGCUUUUGAUACACUGAAAACUUAGGAGCUGUAGUAGAACUGUAUCACCGCAGUUUGUUGGUGCUGGAUACCCGAAAUAGUGUAGAAUAUAGUUACGCUCGGGCGGAGACGCAGAACUUAUUUUUACAGCAGUGUCUAGGCUGCUUCAGACUGUCGGGUGCCGUCAGGAUUGACGGUGGACCAGAUUGCGGGUUUUGCAUCAGCUUGUGCCGAGGGCACGUGAGUCUUGAUUGUUAGACCAGUUGAACCCUAUUUAAUUGAUUAUAGCCUGUAAGAGCCUGAUUGAGCUCAGUAGAGAUACGCUUGCAUACUCGGUUGGGUAGCGCCCACGAGUGCCACUCCGAAGUCGGGCUUUGUGCGUUUGCGUUGUAUAGUGUCCUGGUUGGACUUGCUCUCCACGGACUUGUUAGUGUGGAGGUAGCAUUUAGGAUUCGACAGGCGGGACGGGUGCGUUCACAGUCCCUGGGACGGGUGUUUUCACAGUCCCUAUGGAUUUGGGUCUGAGGCUGCAUUACUCGACAGAUAGUAGUAUUGGAUCAUGUUAGGAUAGUGGCAUAUAGCUGUAGAUUUGUUCUAGCUUCCUUUUCUAUCACUGAGCUUAGAUCUGUAGACUUAGUGGGCCGACCGAUGAUAUUGAGGGCGGCACCCACUGAGGACUACUUGUUUUACAGUAGUUCUCGUGCCCUGUUUUUAUCCCGUUUUUGUAGAGCUAUCGUCUUCGGCUGCUGCUGUUGUAUCUUGGAUUUGGCGUAUGUAUAUGGAACUCGGUUUGUUUUUAUUACUGGUUCUUCUAGCAGCUCUAUACUACUGUUUGUAGUAUUGUAUGAUUUACAGGUACAGCUAUGCUUCGUAUACAGGAAAAAAAUUUUUGUAUACGACGGAUUUGUCGGCGUGCUCGGGGAACGUGUAAUCCGGGGCGUGACACACCGUACCGCGGUAUGUGGGGUCGUGCCGCACGAGACAGAGCGGCACGACGAUGCGUGUCGCGGCACAGUGUCGUGCCGGCACUGUGCAUUUUUUUUUUAUGUUUUGUUUUAUUUUUGGGGUAGCCGAAGUAUUCUGGAUACCCUACAACCCCCAAAAUAUAUUGCAAAUCGAAAAUCUAGGCAAGUCAAAAGAAUUAUAAUUUAAUUUUUUUGUUUAUCAAUAUAGGGCAAAUUUUUAAUUUACAUAUCCAAUCCCUCCGCUUCCAUCAUAGGCAUCCAUCUUUUCUUCACAAAUUAUUUUAUCAAAAUUUGUCGCAAAGUGAAACUUUUACCAAAUUGGGGAAACAAAAUCGAACUCAAUAAACAAAUUUUAAGGCACAUCAAAUAUAAAAUUUUAUUUUUGCGUUAUAAAAUUGAAAAUACUGAUAAAAUUAAAAGUUAAAUUAAAUUAAUUGAUACUUAAAUUAUUUAAUUUAUUUGAAAAAUUAUUUUUUUGUAUUUUAUAAAAGAAAGACAGUAAUAUAGUCAAAAGAAAAAAGAAAAAAAAAAGAUGUCUUUACAUUUUAAAAAUUUUAAUCUGCAAAAUUUCUAUUUUGCAUCAGAUAUAGUUGUACUUUAUAUUUAAAAAAGUUUACAACUAUGUUAAUUAAUGAGUAUAGUAAGCUAUACAUAGCAAAUAUUCAUAAUUAUUUUAUUAAAUCUUUCAAAAUAAUAUUAUAAGAGUUUAUUGAAAUAAAAAAAAUAAAAUAAGUCCAUGCCAAAGCGUACCAGUAGGAGGUCAUGCGUAUCCAUUGGCACGCAAGCGUACCAUGUGUCACGCCCCACAAUCGCCUAUUUGGCCGACUUGGGUACGCCGAACAGACACCGAACGGGCAGAGUUUUUCCUGUCCGCCCAAGGCUCAACAAUGAUCAUGUACAUCUAGUUGCCCAGGAAUAACAUCACCAAUAUACAUGAUACCACGCUAGUAAUCAUACAAGCGAGCAAGAGAGAAAAUCUAACUAUUACAUUUGACAUUCAACCAUUUUUACAAGUUUCCACCAAUGAACAUAAGUUGUUUUACUACUUGCAUCCAAAAUGAUACAUAAGGUUUACGACUCCUCAUAAUACAUGAAUAUCUCUAGCAACCUCACCAAAAUACAUAAAUCUCUCAAAAGGAAACUCCCAAAAUGGUGCCUAACUCUAAUGCAUAUAGGUGGUCGCUAGCUAAUUAGGGCGCUAUGUCCUUAUCGCGGUCCUCAACCUGUCCACCUAAACUCAGCCCUGCAACAAAGUGGGAUGAGAACUAAUAAAUAGCUCCCAGUGAGUUCGGCUACCAACGCCGCCGAUUUUUUCACUAGGUCUAAGCAGGCAAAAGUAGAAGGGUUAGCCAAUUAAUAAUAUUCCUAUCAUGCUACUAUGCCUUUACAAUAUGAACAAUAAGCAAGUAAGGUAAAUAAUAGUAGCAACUACUAUGCUCAUGAUGCAUGACAUUUACCUUUGUUUUCAUAACCCAAUCAAUCCGGCUUACCCGAAGGUUAAGCCUCGACUCACAACCAAAUCCCUACUAAUCGUGAGAAGCAACCAUACACUCACCCGGGACCGUCUGCGGGACAGCUACGUUAGUCCCUACUGUGAAGUACUUCGAAGACCACGCUUGGGUGGAGUGACCACCGCCAAGCAAAACAGACGAAUGUGAGUAUAAUCCAAUCCUCUAAACCGAGGAUACCCUACCAACUAGUGGUAAUCAAAUCCGGGAACACCAAUCCCAAUACUUAUAACUUGAGUAGUCACAUUGUUUCUAGCCAAAUGUCACAAGACUACAAUGUCUCUAACUAAUGCCACAAUGUUACCUUUGUCUCUAGCUAAUGCCACAAGGUUACAUUUGUUUCUAGCUAAUGCCACAAUGUUAUGUUUACAUUUCAUGUCAAGGUCGCUUCUAAUGCCCCAAUGUUCAAGUCCUUAUUCAUGUCAAUAUAGAGUUUCUUUGUUUUCGACCCAAUUCUCAUACUCUUAGCCACUAUGAAUCAUAUCAUGCUUCCACAUAUACCAUAAGAGAAUGCAAGAAUUGAAAAUAACAAGCAUCUACUCUACAAUGCAUGUAUAGUAUAUAUGAACAAAUGCAUGGCAAUGAAGGAACUUAGACAUAAAGAGAAAUCCGGAUGUUCCGGAUAGCACCCCCCAGCUCUAAAUGAUGUUGAGGUGCUUGGAUUCUAAUUUCGUGAUUUGUGGACAUCGCCUCGGCCUUCCAGGUGGAAACGAAGCAAAAACGGUCCUUUUCUUCGAUUACCCGUCACCCGAGUCGUAGGAACUUCGAUUUGA